rnacentral:rRNA from 1 species
GACGAACGCUGGCGGCGCGCCUAACACAUGCAAGUCGAACGGAGCUUGCUUGUCAGAUCCUUUCGGGGUGACGACUUGUAAGCUUAGUGGCGAACGGGUGAGUAACACGUGAGUAACCUGCCCCAGAGUGGGGGACAACAGUUGGAAACGACUGCUAGUACCGCAUAAGCCCACGGAACCGCAUGGUUCUGGGGGAAAAAGGAGCAAUUCGCCCUGGGAUGGACUCGCGUCCGAUUAGCUGGAUGGUGAGGUAACGGCCCACCAUGGCGACGAUCGGUAGCCGGACUGAGAGGUUGAUCGGCCACAUUGGGACUGAGACACGGCCCAG